rnacentral:antisense_RNA from 1 species
CAAACUUAAAAAUAGAUGAGCCCAGGUAGGGGAAUACUAAUUCCCCUACCUGGGUGAUAAA